rnacentral:rRNA from 1 species
AGCGAACGCUGGCGGCAGGCCUAACACAUGCAAGUCGAACGAACCUUUCGGGGUUAGUGGCGGACGGGUGAGUAACACGUGGGAACGUGCCUUUAGGUUCGGAAUAACUCAGGGAAACUUGUGCUAAUACCGAAUGUGCCCUUCGGGGGAAAGAUUAAUCGCCUUUAGAGCGGCCCGCGUCUGAUUAGCUAGUUGGUUGAGGUAAUGGCUCACCAAGGCGACGAUCAGUAGCUGGUCUGAGAGGAUGAUCAGCCACAUUGGGACUGAGACACGGCCCAAACUCCUACGGGAGGCAGCAGUGGGGAAUCUUGCGCAAUGGGCGAGAGCCUGACGCAGCCAUGCCGCGUGAAUGAUGAAGGUCUUAGGAUUGUAAAAUUCUUUCACCGGGGACGAUAAUGACGGUACCCGGAGAAGAAGCCCCGGCUAACUUCGUG